rnacentral:rRNA from 1 species
AGAGUUUGAUCCUGGCUCAGAGCGAACGCUGGCGGCAGGCUUAACACAUGCAAGUCGAGCGGGCGUAGCAAUACGUCAGCGGCAGACGGGUGAGUAACGCGUGGGAACGUACCUUUUGGUUCGGAACAACACAGGGAAACUUGUGCUAAUACCGGAUAAGCCCUUACGGGGAAAGAUUUAUCGCCGAAAGAUCGGCCCGCGUCUGAUUAGCUAGUUGGUGAGGUAAUGGCUCACCAAGGCGACGAUCAGUAGCUGGUCUGAGAGGAUGAUCAGCCACAUUGGGACUGAGACACGGCCCAAACUCCUACGGGAGGCAGCAGUGGGGAAUAUUGGACAAUGGGCGCAAGCCUGAUCCAGCCAUGCCGCGUGAGUGAUGAAGGCCCUAGGGUUGUAAAGCUCUUUUGUGCGGGAAGAUAAUGACGGUACCGCAAGAAUAAGCCCCGGCUAACUUCGUGCCAGCAGCCGCGGUAAUACGAAGGGGGCUAGCGUUGCUCGGAAUCACUGGGCGUAAAGGGUGCGUAGGCGGGUCUUUAAGUCAGGGGUGAAAUCCUGGAGCUCAACUCCAGAACUGCCUUUGAUACUGAGGAUCUUGAGUUCGGGAGAGGUGAGUGGAACUGCGAGUGUAGAGGUGAAAUUCGUUAGAUAUUCGCAAGAACACCAGUGGCGAAGGCGGCUCACUGGCCCGAUACUGACGCUGAGGCACGAAAGCGUGGGGAGCAAAACAGGAUUUAGAUACCCUGGCAGGUCCACGCCGUAAACGAUGAAAUGCCAGCCGUUAGGGGUUUUACUCACUAGUGG